CCGAAUGCUAUUCUCACGACGCGGCUAUUCUUACGGUAACACCAUGGAGGCUAUGAGUGUUUCAGACGUGCGCCAGUUUUUGAUGGAGCGUAACCUAAGCUCGCUAACCACGACCUUUGAAGCUCUGACACUUACAUGUAGAAGAAAAUUAGUCUGACAGAAAAUCUGAUUGAUGGCGAAGCAUUGCUUUCUGUGAUGGAAGAUCACAUUUUGUUGAAGGAAUUAAUACCUGAAGUGGGGUUGAGAGCAAAACUGAGGCGUAAAAUAAAAAAGAAGACUUGAGAGUUUUACUGAAUGACAUGAACAAAUACUAAUUUCAAUUGUGUUGUAGGGUGGUGUUGAGUUUAAUCUAAAUGUGGUGCUGGUGGGUCUAUUACCUAUUUUAAUUCUGUUGGUGGGGGGUGUAAAAGCAGUUAAAAUUGUGUUGGUGGUGCCCCAUUUUUGGACUGUCGUUCUUGCCCCCCCAGGCCUUUUUUCCUGGAACAGCCC